rnacentral:hammerhead_ribozyme from 1 species
AUCCAGCAGACGAGUCUCAGAUAGGACGAAAUGUACAUCCUGGAU